CAGGUGCACACGCACACGUUUUGAAAUUCAAAUCGAUCAGUUCUGUUACGCUCUCAUUUGUUUCCCCAUAACAGGGUUUAUGGACUUCUUUAAGACAGGAUUUUAUUCAGCAGUAUAAUGAAAACAAUUAAGGGAACACGUGAUUCUAAUUGAUUCCCUGUUUGUGUAUAGAAUUUUUAGUUCAUGAAAAUAUAAAAAUAUUCAUUAACAUUUUAAAACUGUGAGUGUGACUGCACUCUAUAGAUUACAGGGCGAAGCCUGGAAAUCACAGAGUAGGGCGUCUGAGAUCUUAGAACAGCAAACCUAUUGCUUCCGGGUUGAUGACAUCACUUACAUAUGAUGAGAAGAUGAAGUCCAAAGUACACAUAUUGGCUUGUUUGAAUAUCUACUAAUAGUGUUUUUUGGAAAGUUGUACACCUGUAUAACAUUGCAUCUCCAUAUUAAAUUAUAUAAUUUU
rnacentral:lncRNA from 1 species